UAAGGAAUAUUGGGCAAUGGACGCAAGUCUGACCCAGCCAUGCCGCGUGGAGGAUGAAGGUCCUCUGGAUUGUAAACUUCUUUUAUCUGGGAAGAAAUCCAUGAAUUCUUUCGUGGUUGACGGUACCAGAUGAAUAAGCACCGGCUAACUCCGUGCCAGCAGCCGCGGUAAUACGGAGGGUGCAAGCGUUAUCCGGAUUUACUGGGUUUAAAGGGUGCGUAGGCGGAGAGGUAAGUCAGUGGUGAAAUCCCCGAGCUCAACUUGGGAACUGCCGUUGAUACUAUCUGUCUUGAAUACCGUGGAGGUGAGCGGAAUAUGUCAUGUAGCGGUGAAAUGCUUAGAUAUGACAUAGAACACCGAUUGCGAAGGCAGCUCACUACGCGGUCAUUGACGCUGAGGCACGAAAGCGUGGGGAGCAAACAG
rnacentral:rRNA from 1 species